rnacentral:rRNA from 1 species
UACGUAGGGCGCAAGCGUUGUCCGGAAUUAUUGGGCGUAAAGAGCUCGUAGGCGGCUUGUUGCGUCCGCUGUGAAAUCCCGGGGCUUAACCCCGGGCGUGCAGUGGAUACGGGCAGGCUAGAGGCAGGCAGGGGAGAACGGAAUCCCUGGUGUAGCGGUGAAAUGCGCAGAUAUCAGGAGGAACACCUAUUGCGAAGGCAGCUCGCUGGGACGUUACUGGCGCUGAGACGCGAAAGCGUGGGGAGCAAACAGG